AGUAGGGAAACUGUGCUCUGUGGUGAGCUUUCACCGUAUAUGAAGUCUGUGAAAUACAGACCGACACUUCAGUUGAACUCAAUAUCAGGAUGUUAGAAUUGGAGAAAUGUCCCAUGGACUCUUCUUGAAUCAACAAUGUUUGAGUGAAACGAGACUUCCAAGGUCACAGUCACUACCCUGAGUGGCACAGGGAACAGACUUCAUCUCUGCACCUUAUGGUACAUGACACCCUGCAGACACUGCCAACCUUACCCCAUUCAACAGACCUGGCACCCAAAGGGUGUGUGCGCUGCUGUGCCCUGCAAAGCCGCGGCUGUGCUGAGCCUGGUACCUGAGCGCUGCUCAACACCCAGCUGCGGCGAGAGAGAGUGAUAAAGACAGAAAUGAAAGAUGGUAUAGCACUCAAGGAAUAAUCAGUAUCCUCAAUUGUGUUUGUUGAAUGAAUCUGGGAGUAAAACCUGCUGCCCCACAAGUCUGAUCCUGCUGGUCUGUCCAGUGGCAAGGAAGAACUGCAGGGCAGCCCGACCAAAGAGGCUGAUUGAGAUGAUUCUCAGCACAGCCAAAACCAGCUGAUCAUGGUGCCUGUUAAUUUUGAUUGAGCUCUUCCAUAUACAGGGAAGUAUCUCCUCUGGCAGCAGUAAUUCAAUGGGAAGUUACUGGAUCUCAACAAAUACAGCCCACCACAGUGCUCCAUGCUUCCAUCUGUGGGCAGACAGAGCGGAGGAGGCUAUGAACUUACUGAAGAAUAUGGAAUUGUACGUACUAGGAGGUAUUAAAUAGUAUGGGCAAAACUGAAGAGGUUAAUCUUCCUUCUUUGUCAACAUAGUACCUGAUGAAACAUGGAACUUAACUUGUCUAAAAUCAUGUACGUAGAUACAUGCAUAUGUAUAUAUAUAUAUAUACAAAUCUUCUGGGUAUGCAUGUAUGUAUUUCAAAGCAGGGAUAUUGGAAAUGCACAUCUUUGCUUCCCAGGGUUACAGUAUUUUGUGAUUGCUCAGUUUAAAUCCUCCCACUGCAUAAUUGCCAGGAUGAAAAUUAUUUUUUGGUUCCUUUCCUCCUGUACAGUGUUAAUUUUUUAAUGUCAAAUAUGAUGCCUUUGACACUCACAAAAAGUAUCAAUUUGUAAAUUAAUUUAUUUAUAGGUUUUUCUAUAGAGUUCAGCACCAUCAAGUCUGAAUGCCCUUCGAAAGUUGCUAGGUGACACUGUCAUACCUCAGUCUGAUGAACAAAUGAGAGCUCGUAAUGUUGAUGCAGUGACUCCAACCAAACAUCCUGCUUUCAUUUUGACAGAGGCUUUUCUUUUUUAUUUUUUUUGCAAACCAUUGUAGGUUUGUUAUGAACUGCAGGCAAGCUCAAAUUAUACUUUUCACCAGCUAUGAUUUAGUUCAUAACUAAACUAGUUCAUAAAAUCAGUGCAUAUCUUUCCAUGUUGUUUUCAUGGAAAUCAGAGCAAAUUCAUAUAUAUGCAUGAGCAACAAUAUUCAUAGACUGAUGCAGAAAAGAAUUUUCCACAAAUUCUAACCUGAAUUUCAUUUAUCGAUGUAGCUAAUUCCUUGUUUUCUUGCCUGUAUUGAAAUGGAGUACAGCUGACCUGAAGAGCGCAUCGUCUUUGUAACACUCCUUUGCCUUCAGGAAGAGUGGUUAAAAUCCCAUAUGUGCAGUGGAGACAAGGUCCUGCACACGGAACAGGAACAUGUGAACAUAUGUACUUGUGAGUCCAGGACGGUGCAUUCAAUUCUGACAUUAUGGAUCUGUAAUCAGAACAAGCAAGUAUUUUUCUGGCUUCCUCCCAGUAACUGGAACUAUAAUAGUUAAUAGAAGAGCUUUAUGGCAGGGAAAAGGAUGAAAAGAGCAAAUACCCUUUAUUUUUUUUUCGUAAUUUUCCUUCUUUUCUUUUUUUUUUUUUCCUUAAAAUAAGCAUUUUCUAUUUUGAAAUAAUAACCACACUACAUUGACUCAGAAUGUUCACAAGGUGUUUCCACUUACAUGGAGUUGGUGAGAAAUGUGUUUCUAACAAUUUCCUGCAGGAAACCUAUGGAGCUGGGAAAUGUCUCUCAGUGGGGCUCGUCUGCAACGAAAUUGUGGAUUUGAAAAGGGGCUGUGAAUGGGCUUCCAAGGCUUUGGCCUGGCUCUCUCUAGCAACAUUUUUGUGAUCCAAAUUGGCAUUGAUUCGAAAUGUGUUCCUGUGCAGGGUAAACAAUAGCUUAGAGCAGUUGCUAAUUAGUGCGGCUCUGUUCUGUUCUUGCUUUUCAUGUCUAGAUACCUCUUUCAGAAAUAAGAAGCAGAAGGAAAACAUGCAAGCAGAAGAAUCAGAAGGCAAAGGAAGAGAAAUGGAUGGGGAUUGCAAGUGAAAAAUUAAUGAGGAGAGACCUCAUUUCACAAAGCUUAUAUAAAGCCGGGCUGCAUCUGUGUGAGGAACAGUGACCCAGAAAGAGAAAUCUGUAAAAAUUUAGAGCAAAGUGCAGAACUUGGUUGCCUCUUUUCCUUUGAGAUGCACCUACAUUAACAAACAAGGAUCCCUCUUGCCUAUGGCCACCGCAAGCUCACCUUUGAAGGUUGUUCCUUGUUUUCCCAUGCUUGGGAAGCAGCCGGGUGCUCUCAGUGCUCAUGGAGAGGUGGUGGCUGAGCAGGAGUCCAGAGAAACUGCACUGUGGGCUCAGUGUGGCUUAUCUCACAUUUAUUUUGCGAUACAGACCUCCUUAUGCAGCCAUAUUUUUUCUAUCCAUUCAUCAUAUAUAUAUAUAUAUAUAUGAUGACGACAUAUAUAUACACACACACACGUGUCUAGUGGGACAUGUCCCUGCCCAUCUCAGGGGUGUUGGAACUCAAUGAUCAUUAAGGUCCUUUCCAAUCCAAACUGUUCUAUGAUUCUAUGAUUCUCUAUAAAUAUAAGUAAAAGCACUUAACUUCUGGCCAAUUUGAAACUCUUUGUAACACCACAGCUGCCUGAUGAGAAUCGCCUUUUUGGAAUGCUCAGGAUUGUUCCCAGCAUAGGUGAGCAGGUCAAAAUCUCUGUUUGUGGGGGCAGCAGAAGGUUGCAGAAAGUAAUUAUUGCGGAAAAAAAAACCCAUUCCUAAAAUGGCAGCUGGGUAGUACUAAAAAGGAAGGGGAAUAUUUCUCAUUAUUUUACAAUUCAAACUAUUAAUUCAUGGGUAUGUUCUUUUAUAGCCAAACCCAGGAGAAAAAGACCUUAGUACCUUUCAUGUCAGGGCUGAGAUUCUCACCCCAAAUACUCACUACUUUCUGCCUGAAAAACAGGGUAUUUCAUAGUUUCCCUGAAAAAGAAAGGAGCACCUGUGGGAGUGCCAAACCAGCACACUAAUUUCAAUCACACCCCUCGCUUACUCGUCUGGUGCCCUGAGUGGAAACUCAGAAUUAUUUAAAAUGAAAGUUUUAUCUUCUAUACUGGGAACACCUCAGGAAAUAUCCAGCAGCUCACUUUCUGUGCUACUAAUGGGUCUCCAGGUAUUAACACAGCACACCUCUCCUACUAAUUUCUACUGCCGUUCUUUGCCUUAUAGUUCGAAUAAAGGGAUGGAGGCAUCAUCUGCUAUCUCGUCGCAUAAGCUUUUUCUCUGAGUAACAUCAUGCGUUAGCAGUCAGUCUAAUUUGAUUGUUUCCAAACCAGAAAGGACAGCUGUCAGCCGCCUCCCAGAACAAAUUCAAAGGCUAUAAUCAAGAAAUCUUCUCCAAGAAGUUGUUUCAAGCAGCUGCUUAUCACUCUUCAAAAGACUGGGAAGACAAACUAGUCAAUUUAUUCUAAUGGACAGGUACAAUCUGAGUAUUAGUAUCUUGCUAAUAUUGACUGAUAAGAUUUAAACGAAUUUGAAUGCUGUGGAUGUCAGCUGCUAGACUGGCAGGAGACGAAGCAGUGUUGAUAAAUAGUUGUACCUGCAAAAGAGAGUAAUUACAGUUUAUUUUCUUAGGUGUUAACUAUUGAAAUUAAUAAUGUUUAAAACCUGCACUUUGUAAAUCUAUUCAGAUUUCCCUUUGAAAUAAUUGUUGCAGUUCUCAUAAGGUUGCAAGGAACCACCACAGAUUAGUAGGGAUUUCUCCUGAUAAAUCUGAUCUGAGUUCUUUAUAGAUGUGGCACCAAUAUUUCCUGCCCUCUCCUAACUCCUCCUUCCAUCCAGAAUCCACUGACAACUUAAAACAUGCUUAUUCGCCUAUCACUUGUGCCAGGUAGGGCAAAGGAUUGUUCUUUCCACUUAGAGACUGGGAGGACAACCAUGGAAAGGCUGCUCCCCCUGUCCUGGAAGGAAUUUAGCUCUGUCAGCAUCACUGAGCAACACCUGCAGCUGAUGAACCAUGAAGCAGCAUAUUUAUUUUCCUACAUGCGAGCUGUCCAGGGCCAGAUCCCUGGGAUAUCAGCCAGCAAGGCAACCUCACCCUGGCUGUUUUAGUGUAUUUAUGCAUUUUGGUUUCGUUUAAGACUGCUGUUGCAGAGGGAGAGACUAUUAAACCAUCCAUUGCAAAGUUAGGUCUAGAAAAAUACACACUUCCCAAAAUCUGGUUUCUUUCUGUUUUAGCAGCACAUUACCUCUUUUGCCCUUGCUACCUGAAGCUUUCUGACCCUGGGACCUCUGCACUGAGGGAAGAGCAUCCCUAGGGCCUGGCUCGGAGAUGCUUGGGUAGCCAGCAAGUGACUUCUUAACCUCAAGAUACCAAUUAAGAAAUGCCCUUGAGUCAGCUCCAAGUCAGGUAACAAAACAAAAGGCUCCAAAAGGCCUAAGGAGUGUUGGAUGCUCAGUAGAUAACAAGACCUGCAAGACCUUACUGUUGGUGACAGGCAGAUAAUUUCAAAACAUAGAGCUUAAGUUUUACCGAAAGUUCUUUAAAACCACUUACGUACAGUUUUGUUUUCAGAAAUACUAGCAAAUUUUUCACUUUCCUCUUCCCAAAUAUCCGAUUAUUUAACAGAGUUGAACUAUUAUUGCCUUAACAAAGAAAGAACUGUUCACAAGCUCGUAAAAGUAUUUUUCCAAUAAAUCCUCUGUUUUGUCUUUUGUGAGCUGAAACAACCUUUGAUGCUGACAGACAAUUGAUUAGAGCUAGAUAAACAGUAUUAAGCAGACAAAAUAUUUCUUCAAUAAGAGCAUUCAGGGGUUUCUGAAUAAUAUCUUAUCCCUUAUCAAUCUUUAAAAGGAUUUUUAUUUAUCACUGAAGUGCAUAUCUAAACAAAUUACAGAACAGUGGUUUGCCUGCAAACCAUUGACUUGGACUAUCUACUUUUUAUCAAACAAAGCUAAUUUGCAGUUUAACCUAUUUCCUGCUUUUCUGAGGGGAUUGUAACUUUUCGGUAUGAGAAUAAAACAUUAUUACACGCAACAAAUAGAGCAUAUCUAAGCACAUACUUUCAACAAAAUACUUUUCAAACUUUUGAUGUUUGUGGUCAUUAUCAUGAAGGUUAAUGAUCACAGGAGUAAUCACAAGCAAUAGGUGCUGAAACUCUUUCAAUGAAGAAGCAGAAAGUGAAUAUGAAGCUUUAACAUCCUGACAUUUAUAUGCA